rnacentral:lncRNA from 1 species
AUGAAGCUUCCUAUCGCCUUCCCUCCCACUGGCUGAUAGAAACUCAUUGAAGUGGAUGACGAAUGCAAGCUUCAUACGGUCUAUGAGACGUUCAUGGCCACAUGUGUAGCUGUUAAUUCUCUUGGUGAAUAGCAGGAGGGUUAUGUGGUCCAGACCAGCCGUGGGAAUGGCAAACUAGGUUUUCCCAUGAAGCUAGGCAUUUUGACCCAUGGGAGAGUGUGCCUGCUCUUGAGUAAGGGGCAUUCUUGUUAUAGAUUAAGGAGAAUUGAAGAGAGGAAGCACAAGUCUGUUUGCAGAUAUAUUAUAGAUGUCAAUCUAAGUGUUCUCAACUUGGUUAUUGUAAAGAGAAAAGAGAAGGAUAUUCCUGGACUAACAGCUACUACUAGGCCUCAUCGGUAGGAACCUAAAAGAGCUAGUAGAAUCCAAAAGCUUUUCCAUCUCUCCAAAGAUGAUGUCAGAAAUCCAUUAAACAAAUUAAGAAGCCCAGGACCAAAGCACAAAGAUUCAGAGUCUUGUUACUCAAUGUGUCCUGUAACUCAAACGCUUGUGUAUUGCUCUGAAGAAAUAGCACACUAAGAAAAACAAGGAGGAGGAUGCAGAAUAUGCUAAACUUUUGACCAAGAGAAUGAAGGAAGCCAAAGAAAAGCACCAGGAGCAGAUUGCUAAGAGACAUAGGCUGUCCUUGCUGAGAACUUCUACUCCUAAGUCUGAGUCUAGUCAG